CGCAAUCAAACAGACCCUUGUGGUUUUAGAGUAUAUUCUUCUCAGUUUCACCCGUCUUUUAAAUCCAAAAAUAGAAAUGGCAGUUUUCUUGCUCUUUACUACCACAUUCAAUCACUCACACACUUACACUACUUUCAAUUUCUUCACCUCACUGCAAAAUUUCUGUGGGGAUUCAUUCUCCAAUUUAAAGGCUAAAGGAAGAAUUCACAGAAUAUGUUGUAGGAAGGUUCGAGUUGUGUCGUCGCAUUCCAAUCCCAAAAUUCUGAAGCGCAAUCGUAAAUCCAGGUAUGGACAGCCAUUGUCUCCUUAUGACAGUGAAGAAGAAAAAGAAGUUGAUGAUGACGACAGUGGUGGUGACGAUUGGAUUUCUGAUGUGAGUUUCUUUCUCUUCUCUUCUCUUCUCUUUUUUUUUUAUUUUUUUUUUUAAAUUUUGAUUUAUUAUUUUUUGUUUCUAAUGAUAUUUAUGCUACUUUAAGGUCUGAAGAAAGAAAUAAAAUGGGUUUCUACAAGAGAUUUUAUUUGUUAUCCUGCAGGCUAAUAAGCAUUUUCGGCUCAGAUGUUCGAUUAUUGUAAAAAGAAAAAUGGACAAAUGCAGAAUUGGAAGUCUAAAAUAGCAAUCUUUACUUGAUAGUGUGCACUCAUCAAAUCACAAAUUGAAGAAAUUGAAGAGGAUAUUCAAUGCUCUGCUGUCAGUUAAUGUAAAUUAUAUAUAUGUGGUUUGAAAUAUGAACUUGCUUGCAAAUAGGACAACUGUGGAAUGUCUUUUAAAUUAAGUGAUUAUUGGAUUAACUUUGGCAUGUAGUGCAGGGAAGUGUAAUUUAUUUAUAUAUAUUGGUCUGGGACACAGUUUUGAAAAUUGUCUAUGUUAAAUCCACUCGUAAAUUUUAGGGAAUAGAGAGCUCUAUUAGUUUAUGCAAAAUUUAUGGCGUCAUUGAUGUUCUGCAAAACUUGACAUUAUAGGGUCUUGUAUAUCAAUCCUUUAAAAAGGAUGUUUUGUGGCCUCCAAACUACUGGUGCCAUAGUAAUUUUGUCAAUGGAAAUAUGCUGUAGUUACAUGUCAGUCAGUCACUGAUGCAAGGAUAAUAAAUCCACAAUGAAAUUCAACUUGAUAUAAUUUAUUUGUUUGCCACUUUCUGAUGGUCAUUUUUUUUGGGUUGGGAUACAGGAAGAGUUUGCAGACAACAAAAUUUCUGAAGCUGAUAGACAAAAGUUAAAGAUGCAGAAUUCGACCAAGAUGAAACAAGGUAUUUGUAAUUUUUUGAAUAGUAUCAAAGAGUUGAAGGAGUCAAGGAAUGUAAAGUCGUGGUUCACAGUCCAUCCUUUAUUACUAGAAGAAGGGGCUUGGAUGUAAAGUUAUGUUGGCAAUGUGGUCCUAUUCAACUGAACCAUGUGGAAUUCUCAUGCAUUCACCAUUAACUAGGUUUUUUGGGGGGUAGUUGACACAGACUCAUUUUCUCUUGAUCUUCUUUUCUCGCAAUAUUGUCUGAUUAGGUUUUUCAGUCUUCUUUGAAGUUACCGUUGAUAUCUCGUUUCUUAGAGAUUUUCUGGUCUAUGUUGUUUGGUCUAACUGAUGACUUAAUGGCUUAGUCCCUAGUGUUUGGACGGAAUGAGUGCUGUAUAUUCUUGAGAGGUUUGAGAGGGUUACUAUGUUGUAUCAUUGUGAAUAUUUGUUAACUUCGUGACCAUUUCUGGUGUUCUGUGUUAUGAUUUCUGCAGUGCUUGUGAAAAUUUACCGAUUUCGUGGUGCUUGGAUUCUAUACAGUAGGAUUAAUCGAUUUAAGGUAAAGCUCAUUGUGCAGGCAGUCGCAGGCAUCUGGAGAGAGGUGGAGGUGCAAGCUCUUUAAAUUCUGGACGAAACCUUGAAACAAGGCAACACAAGUUGGGUAUAAAGAAUGGCAAAGACAUCCUAAAAAAGAGAGAGAGUAGCAUUUCGUAUAACACUUCCAGGCAAUCAGCAAGCAUUUCUUCUUUAGGUGAUAGCAGAGAAAAGGUAUCAAUCAUCACAACUGUCAGAUGUAACUUUUGAGUGGUAAUGACCACCACAAUGUUUGUUGUUUUAUCUGAUUGUGUUGGAUGAAUUGGUUUUACCAAUUAUUUUAUUUGGUACCAUUAGUUGGACAAAAGUUCUCUUUGGCCUAGUGUAUUCUACUCCAAGAGUGGAUUAAUGAUAUGUAUUUAUUAUUGCAAAACCAAUUAAGGGUGAAUGAGAAAUUACUGCCGAAAGAUGAACACUUGAAGUUGAAAUAAAGUGGGAAUGAAAAUUGGUGGGAAAUUGGAGAAUCCCAACCUACAUGCUAGUAGCUUGAGCCAAAACCCACAUGCGCUCUGUCGGUCGACAUGGCACCGAAAUUUUGCCCAAUUGUUUAGUCACUAUAAAAGAUCAUUUUGAAUAUAAAUUAUUGCAUCAGGUAACUAUAAUCACAACUGUUAAAUAUGAUUUUGUGUAGUAAUGACCGCCAUAAUGUUUAUUGUUUUAUCUGAUUGCACCAGGAAGCAGAAAGUUCUUCUAAGAAAAGAUUCACUCAUUUGUCAGAAGAACUAGACUUAGACGAUAGGUGGUUACCGCUUCUGGAUCAUUUGAGCACUUUUGGUCUUAAGGAAUCACAUUUUAUUCAAAUGUAUGAAAGGCAUAUGCCAUCCCUUCAGAUAAAUGUUGACUCUGCUGAGGAAAGAUUGGGAUAUUUGUUAAGUGUUGGCGUCAAACACAGAGAUAUCAGAAAAAUAAUUUUGAGACAGCCUCAAAUUUUGGGGUACACCAUCGAAAACAAUCUGAAGUCUCAUGUUGCCUUUUUGGGAAGAUUGGGCAUUCCAGAAUCGAGAAUAGGGCAAAUAAUUACUGCCACCCCAUCCAUGUUCUCUUACAGUAUUGAUAAUUCUUUAAAACCUACAGUCAAGUACCUUCUUGAGGAGAUAGGAAUCGAGAAGCAUGAUCUGAGUAAAGUUGUGCAGUUAAGCCCUCAAAUUCUGGUUCAGCGGAUAGACAAUACAUGGACUGCUCGUUUCAAUUUUCUGACAAAAGAAUUGGGAGCACCCAGAGAGAGUAUAGUAAAGAUGGUCACUAAACACCCUCAAAUACUACACUACAGCAUUGAAGAUGGAUUACGCCCCAGGAUCAAUUUCUUAAGAGGCAUUGGGAUGUGCAUCUCUGAUAUACUGAAAGUAUUAACUAGCCUUACACAGGUCAGCUGGAUUCUCUUGUGCAAUUGAUUUUGUACCUCAAACUACAAGCUCGACCAACUUGUCCUCAAAAUUGAAUCCAUGCCUUUUACCUUUUCAUACAGAUCUUGUUUUGCUUAACAUCACAAUCAAAUUAAAUUUUCAGAUGAUGCCAUCUGUGCUUGCAGGUAUUCUCUCUGUCAUUGGAGGGAAAUCUGAAACCUAAAUACAUGUACUUGAUCAAUGAACUUAAAAAUGAGGUCCAUUCCCUGACCAAAUAUCCGACAUACCUAAGCUUGUCUCUUGACCAGCGAAUUCGUCCUCGCCAUAGGUUUUUGGUUUCCUUGAAGAAAGCUCCGAAAGGGCCAUUUCCUUUGAGCUCACUGGUUCCAACUGAUGAAAACUUUUGCCACCAGUGGGCAGGAACUAGCUUAGACAAAUAUCUGGAUUUCCGGGAGAGAUUGCUGCUCAAAGAGUUUGCAAAGAAGUACGAAAGACAAUGAUUAGUUCCAUUCUCAUUCCUAGUCUACUUGGUAAUAGAUCACACACAUUACAGCAAAUUGAGAUGCAUAUACUCUUUUCCUGGGAACACUUGAAUAUUAAGGUGAGUCAGAUGUUCAUGAUAAUUGACACAUACAUUUAUAUCGAAGAAACAUGUAUAAUGUUAAUUUCUGUUUUAUAUCUGUGCUAGCUGUUUCUAAAUUUUGCUAUACAAUUUUGCGAGGUGUUGUCCUACGUCAAUGCUUACACUGUGAUAGUCCCUGUUUAUUAAAAUCGAAUUAAAACUAACCUUGAUAUGCUGGGUUCCAGUGAUGACGUUUGAUUGUUAGAAUCAACAGAAGUUAGUCCUCCUCCUCCUCCUCCUUGAUAUGCUGGGUUCCAGUGAUGACGUUUGAUUGUUAGAAUCAACAGAAGUUAGUCCUCCUCCUCCUCCUCCUCCUCAUUAUUAUUAUUAUUAUGUUUUUUUAUGGGUCUAAUACAUUGGUCAAAUAAAAUAGUUGAACUGAAUUCAAAUGAAUUGCACAAUCAUUCUAAUGAUCAUCUACCUUGAUUUUAUUUUAAAACCCAAAUUCUCCUUCUCCUUCUCCUUCUCCUUCUCCUCCUCCUCCUCCUCCUCCUCCUCCUCCUUCUUAUUAUUAUUAUUAUUAUUAUUAUGUUUUUUUAUGGGUCUAAUACAUUGGUCAAAUAAAAUAGUUGAACUGAAUUCAAAUGAAUUGCACAAUCAUUCUAAUGAUCAUCUACCUUGAUUUUAUUUUAAAACCCAAAUUCUAAUGUUUGCCACUUCUCGGACAGGUUUGUUAUUUGAUUACAACCCGUUAAGAGAAAAGAUAUGCAAUAGCUAGUCUUGACGGCUGCUGAUUUCUUGUUGAAGGAUUCUUUUGUGCUCGUUUCUUUGACACUUCCUGUCUUUCAUACUUCUUAUUACAUACAACGGCUAUGCUUUUCCCUGUUGCAGUACCUUCACAACUACCAACUUUUAUUUUGAUGGCAGUUAAGAAGGUAUCAGUGAUUAUUAUUUCCCAUUUCUUUUGAAUAUGUAUUGGUAAUUCCUCUCUUUUCCCCCAACAUAGGCAUGAUUAACUAUUUCAUAAAAAUCAUUCUUUUCUACUACCCUCGUGUAUAUUUUGUUGUAAUACUGGUAUGUAUUAUGAUUUGGGAUACUUCUUAGCGAUGAAAAUAUUUGUUUAUAUAAAUUCAAAAUGUUGGCAAAGUUAUUUCUAUCAUUUGUUUUUUCGUACUUGACCCUAAGUGCAUGAUAUCGUUAAAUGAAGUUUGUGAUUCUAAGUGUCAUUCACUUGUGUUCUUCACUUACUCUAGACGAUCGUUAAAUUAGCAUGAUCAUGUCUUGUAAUCUUUGUAUAAACUUCAUUUUUGCAAGAUUUCGUGUUCACACAUAGUAGAGCA
rnacentral:lncRNA from 1 species